rnacentral:misc_RNA from 1 species
CCGAGUGAGGGCCCUCUGGGUCCAACCUCCCACCCGUGUUUAUUUUACCUUGUUGCUUCGGCGAGCCUGCCCUUUGGCUGCCGGGGGACAUCUGUCCCCGGGUCCGCGCUCGCCGAAGACACCUUAGAAAUCUGUCUGAAGAUUGUAGUCUGAGAUUAA